rnacentral:rRNA from 1 species
GACGAACGCGGGCGGCGUGCCUAAUACAUGCAAGUAGAACGCUGAAGGAGGAGCUUGCUUCUCUGGAUGAGUUGCGAACGGGUGAGUAACGCGUAGGUAACCUGCCUGGUAGCGGGGGAUAACUAUUGGAAACGAUAGCUAAUACCGCAUAAGAGUAGAUGUUGCAUGACAUUUGCUUAAAAUGUGCAAUUGCAUCACUACCAGAUGGACCUGCGUUGUAUUAGCUAGUUGGUGGGGUAACGGCUCACCAAGGCGACGAUACAUAGCCGACCUGAGAGGGUGAUCGGCCACACUGGGACUGAGACACGGCCCAGACUCCUACGGGAGGCAGCAGUAGGGAAUCUUCGGCAAUGGACGGAAGUCUGACCGAGCAACGCCGCGUGAGUGAAGAAGGUUUUCGGAUCGUAAAGCUCUGUUGUAAGAGAAGAACGAGUGUGAGAGUGGAAAGUUCACACUGUGACGGUAUCUUACCAGAAAGGGCCGGCUAACUACGUG